GCGUCCCUCUCCCUCGGGACUCAUCUUCCGAGCCACUGCAGCUGUGUUGCUGGGGGCUGCCUGUACAGCCGGGCAGCAACUUUGCUGAUCCGGUCCUGAAAGCAGCCCUGAAUCGCAACGAGCAACGAGGUUAAUAUUUAUUACAAUUCAGAGACCUUCCUCGAGUCAGAAAUACAUCUUAGUUUGCUGCCCUUUAAAACCAUUCUCUUGGAUAAUGACAAAUUAACCAGCUCACCAUCUUCCCAUUUUAAUUGUAGGACGAAGGUUUGCUUGAUCAGUUUGGUUUUUGUUUGUUUGGUUUUUUUUUUUUUUUUUUUGGUUUUUUUUUUUUUUUUUUGUAGUUUUGAGUGACUCUAAAACUCUGGAAAUGUAAGGACUUAGCAUUUUAAAACACUGAAAUGCAUUCGGGAAGAAAAAUCACUAUUUUUAGCUAGGACUUUCUGUGCCAAAAGUAUGUUAAUGAAAACAUUCACAGUUUGAAUUAAAAUGUGUUAGCAAAUCUGCCAGCAGAUUUUUUAGCAAAAUAUUGUCUGUAAAUCUGAAGACCAGUUCAGGAUAUCUUUAUUUUUCUGUUUGAAAUAAUGGACAUAGGAAAUUCACUUACAGUGUUACAAGUGUAAACUCGGUGACCACGCUAUACAAACACCAGUUAAUAUCAAACUAUUCUAAGCAGUCUUCUAAUUUAACAAACCCAAACAAACAUUUCCUGUAGUUCUGUCCUUCAUAUAGGUUAAAAUUAUCUCCUGAAUAUUUCUAGUCAGAUUCUGUGUAAAGUAGUAUUAGCUGAUUUUGGUCAAUAGUUUAGAAUGAAAAAUUGGACAUUUUGGGGUAUUGGAGUAACAUUGAUUGCACAAACUGCUGAACAAGGCUUGCCCAAAGGCACAUGGGAGCCUAACGAGGGAGUGAACAGAUUUUGUUGCUACUGAAGAAAUCUCUAUGCAUAUAGUCACUGCAGAUGGAAGUGUCUAUGCCAGCAUUUGGUGGUCCAUCCCAAGCAACUGGAUUAGAAUCACUUCUAGAAUAAAAAGUGUGGAGCAGUCCUCCCCACAAAACACCACUGACUGCUUUUGUAGUUGUCUCCUUUUUCAGAUGGAGAAAUAAUACACAUGCUCUGUAUUCCAGAAAAGAAAUUCCUAAAAAUUAAUGGUAAUUUAAGCAAAAUCUUUGGUGCUAAAAACCAUAUCCAUUUUCUUCCCCAAGGUACCUUUCCUCAAAUUCCAAAUCUUAUGGCUCCAAUGCCAUUUAGUAGAGGGAUUAAAAAUACUUUUUUAAAUCACUUUUUUCUGUCUAGAAUUUGUCUUGAUGAGUUGUGUCUAGUUUUCAGGAAGACUUAAGGAGAACACCAGACACAAUUUUCCUCUGUGGGUUUUUCCUACUAUAUGAAUAUAUUAUUUGAUAUGAGCACUGUUCAGUAUAGAUUAAUGGGCUUCUUAAAAUUUACCUUCAUAUUAAUGAGAUAAGCAGCUCUGGAAACUUCUUGAUAUUCUAACUAUUAAACCCUCCAUAUCUUUGAUAUGCAGAAAUCAAAAUGCAGAGGUUUUCUCAAAGCUCAGAAGUAAGGCUCAGUCUAUAUCUACCCAGAGCUAAUGGAGUUCUUCACAGGUACCAGCUCCAGUCUCGAUCUUUCAUUUGGAAGCUGUCAUGAUAAAUGGUGUUUUCCACUGAGAAUCAAAUCACAAAUCCCAAAAGUUAGAUAAAUUCUUAGGGAGCAAAAGAUUUACUGUGUUUCAUCUAUUUCUGUAUUUAAUUAUACUUACAGACUUAGCAACCAGGCCACAAAUUGCAUAAUUAUUUAGCUACCAGGCAAAAACACAGUGUUAUCCCCAUGACAAGGGAUUUGAGUUAAUAUCCUGGUUCCAGGUUUCUUCAGUAUUCUGUGCCAUUCCUCACCAGUUCCGUAGUAGCAAAGCAGGGAGGAGAGGGUCCUAAUUUGGAGCUGUGUUUUCUGCUUUGGGAGCAGCAGUAAGGCCCUGAAAGGGAGGAUUUAAAUUCUUGUGGUGCCUUGCCUGCAGUGACCCGAGUUUGUGUGAGUGUUAACCCCUGCUCUCCUGGCCUGGGAAGGUUUCCCACCUGCUCUGUUCCCUUACAUCCAGAAGUUUUGAAGAUUCACAAGACACUGCAGGAAGAAUGGGUCUGUUUUGCCAGCAGUGAUGAAAAAUACAUAGGCCUACUCUUUGCAUUAAAGAACAGCACAUUUUUCAUGUGACUCACCAGUGAUUUCUGAGAACACCCAAAGAGCUAUGAUUAGCCUGAGCCAAAACCUUGCAGCGUCCUCCGUGCCUGGGAGAGCGGUGCCUCACACCCUGGGUGAGUGACGUGUGACAGGAAAACAGAGGGGGCAAAUCCCAGGAGGCCUUUCUGCAGUAUGUGGAAAGGCUAAUUUAGAUGUAAAAAUAAAAGAACACGUGGAUCAGAACAGCUCUGUGCUCUCUGGCAGCAAACCCCUCACUUGAAUAAACUCAGUAGAAGCAAAAUGAUGUCCAAGUGUCUGAGCAUAAUUAAUUGUGGCAGAGAUUGAAGUCAGACAGAUAAGUUAGCAGCUGGAAAAUGUUUCCUGGCCUAUUCAAAUGAAGAAAUUCAUCUGUGUAAAUUGAACAGAAUUGAACUUGUUCAUGUCAUCUACUGUUUUCAUGUGAGUGUGCCAGGUUAUUUUAUCCUAUAUUUGAAGCACCUUGGAACAAGGUCAUAUGACUGUUCUCAUACUUUAAUAAAAUCAGAUAUCACUCAUCAGAAAGUACUCCUAUCAGAAAGAAAAUGGGCAAAAGUAAUCAAUAAUGAAAACUGAAUAAGCAAGAUUGAAUUUAUGUAAUCUUGCAGUACAUGCUUUACCUGUAUUUAAUAAGAUGAAUUAUGAAUAUCUUCAGUGAGCAAAAUUCAGCACUCAAAAACCUGUGACUCAGCACUUCAGAUGAAUGCCAGCAUCUAAAUUUUGAAUAAAGGAAAAAAAAAUAGCUUAACUUCCCAGCUCAUCAAUAUAGUGGCAGUUAGAACUGCAGGCUCAGUGUCUAUGGCACAGCCACCCCCUGUGCCUGUGUUCUGAAGCAGAGAUGUCCUGCAAGGGACAGAAGAAUGAUGUCACUAGCACUGUCAGGAUACAUUUAAAUGUAUCCGAAUCCACUUCCUGACUUUUUUCUUUUCAGACUUUAAAUACUAAAAAUAAUGAGCAGAGUAGUUUGUUACUUAAUUUACUUUGCCAUUUUCUACUAUUUUUCCCCUUUUUGUAGAGAUCACCAAGGUGAUUUGUUGACUCCAUGAUAUAGGUCAGUUGGCUGUUUUAUGAGUUACAGUAGCAACAGGAUUAAGUGCAAUUGCUAUGGUUUUUAGAACUGUGUUUUGAAUUUUUAGAUAUUUUUGUUAUUAAAAUUAAUAGAAAUCCAGUGUUCAAACUCAUGUGACAGCUCUGCUUUAAAGAAACAUGUACUUAACAGGAAUUCCAUUCCAGAUGGAAGGAAGACAAAAUCAUGGUAAACUAUUCAGCUGUCCAUACAGACUCAUUAACCACAGCCAUGGACAUUUCUAAGUCAUUUUCUAUCAAAUGCAUUUAUUUAUGAGUAAGAGAGUAAGCAGAUUUUUCAAAAACUUUUCCAAGUGGUGAUACUAAUAAUGUGAAUUAAAAUGAGGCACAGAAAUUAGAGAGAUGUUCAAUUUUGAUAGAUAUAGUUUAGGCCUGAGUAUUGCAUGUGUUAAAAGUCUCAGUCACAAGUAACUUUAAAGAAUCAUUUAAAAGUAUGUGCAUGUGUUAAAAGUCUGUGGUUCUUUCCUAUGCAAAUCAAGCUUUCUGUAAUAAACUUGCUUCAAUGGGAGGCAAUAGCCAAUUACCACUUUUAAGCUGUCAAAGGAAUUAAGAAAUGAAUCUAAUUUAAUUCUUCAUGUUUGUUUCUUCAAGGAGGGAUAAAGUGACAUUAUAGUUCAGCUAAUAACUAUCCAUCCUAAAACAGAAGAAAAGAAUAAUUUGUUUAGAGACAUUUACUCUUGAACUCUUUGCAUUUGUCCCCUCAUAACGAUCCUAGCUUAUAAGGAGUACAACUAUCCCUAAGGAUUAAAUAUGCACAAGUUGCUAAACCUUUUCAGUCGUUCAGGGAAACUGUCAGACUGUCUUUCUUUUUGCAGUUGAAUUUUAUUACUUUGGCUACAGAUUUGGAAAGAAAAAAUAGCUGAAUAGUUUGAAUGAUGCUCUCUGAAGACACAAGUGUGUGUCUAAUAUAUGUGAUAAAAAGGGAAAAGACAAAUAGGAGUCAUAUAGGGGAAAUAAUGUUAUAAUGGAAAAUGAUGAUGUGCACUGAGUGAUGGAUUGCUGGGGAAACCCCAGGUUGGUUCACAGACUUAAGGCUAAAUACUCUUUUCAGGGCCAGAAAGAAAGAGCCAAGGGUUGCUCAGGCAGGAGAGCCCAAAUAGGCCACAAGAACUGAAACAUUGCUGCAGAAAGCGAGGAAGUGGAAAACAGACAGUGUCAGGAUGUGAAACAGAGUCACACCAUGCAUCCUUUGCUCCAGCCUGCAUUGUGAGGAACAGUAACUUCAAAGGCAGAAAUAGCAAAGAUGUGACUGAGUUGUUAAUGCCAGAGUCAUGCUACAGCCAUACUGAUCAGUGCUUGCAGAUGCAUUAAACACCUGAAAUGGAUGAUGAGCAGGCUAAUGGAUCAAGUCCUGGAAAGAAACUAUACUCUGAAAUGUAGAGAUGAAAAUAAGGAGAACAAGAAGAAGAGUUGUCAUCAGACCUUGUCAGUUGUGACUUCUCUUCAUGGUCUUUGCCUCUUGUGUGUGCACUUACUGCAGUGUUCAUGCACCAUACGGGCUUCCAUAGGUAAUUCUGGGAUGGACUACAUGAAAAAAUAAGAUAAACUAUGUUCCAUUAUAACAGAAAAUCAGGAUGUUACCCAGAUUUGAUAAACUUUUGAAUGAAUACCAUGUCACCAAAAUGGACACACUCCACAUAUAGCUUAAGCCAGUUUUACAAUCACACGUUGAAAAUUUUACCAGCCAGUAGUUCAAAGGCAGUGCUUUCUCAGGGGAAAAUAUGCAGGAGUUACUGAAGGAGGUUCUGUUCAGGGAGUAUUAUGGCAAGAACUGUGCUAGUAACAUAUUUUAUUUAAAAUGAGAGUUUUGAAAUAGAUCAGAGAGAGAAUUUUAUAAAAGUCAGGUGGAUUCAUUAUUUAACACAGGAUACUUUGCAGAUUGUUUAAGCUCACGUUCCUAUGUACAGAUGUGAAAGCAAUACAAUAAAGACUGACCUUUUCCAUGAAAAAUCAA